rnacentral:rRNA from 1 species
GAUGAACGCUGGCGGCGUGCCUAAUACAUGCGAGUCGAGCGAACAGACGAGGAGCUUGCUCCUCUGACGUUAGCGGCGGACGGGUGAGUAACACGUGGAUAACCUACCUAUAAGACUGGGAUAACUUCGGGAAACCGGAGCUAAUACCGGAUAAUAUAUUGAACCGCAUGGUUCAAUAGUGAAAGACGGUUUUGCUGUCACGUAUAGAUGGAUCCGCGCCGCAUUAGCUAGUUGGUAAGGUAACGGCUUACCAAGGCGACGAUGCGUAGCCGACCUGAGAGGGUGAUCGGCCACACUGGAAGUGAGACACGGUCCAGAGUCCUACGGGAGGCAGCAGUAGGGAAUCUUCCGCAAUGGGCGAAAGCAUGACGGAGCAACGCCGAGUGAGUGAUGAAGGUCUUCGGAUCGUAAAACUCUGUUAUUAGGGAAGAACAAAUGUGUAAGUAACUAUGCACGUCUUGACGGUACCUAAUCAGAAAGCCACGGCUAACUACGUG